UCGAACGAACUCUGGUAUUGAUUGGUGCUUGCAUCAUGAUUUACAUUUGAGUGAGUGGCGAACUGGUGAGUAACACGUGGGAAACCUGCCCAGAAGCGGGGGAUAACACCUGGAAACAGAUGCUAAUACCGCAUAACAACUUGGACCGCAUGGUCCGAGCUUGAAAGAUGGCUUCGGCUAUCACUUUUGGAUGGUCCCGCGGCGUAUUAGCUAGAUGGUGGGGUAACGGCUCACCAUGGCAAUGAUACGUAGCCGACCUGAGAGGGUAAUCGGCCACAUUGGGACUGAGACACGGCCCAAACUCCUACGGGAGGCAGCAGUAGGGAAUCUUCCACAAUGGACGAAAGUCUGAUGGAGCAACGCCGCGUGAGUGAAGAAGGGUUUCGGCUCGUAAAACUCUGUUGUUAAAGAAGAACAUAUCUGAGAGUAACUGUUCAGGUAUUGACGGUAUUUAACCAGAAAGCCACGGCUAACUACGUGCCAGCAGCCGCGGUAAUACGUAGGUGGCAAGCGUUGUCCGGAUUUAUUGGGCGUAAAGCGAGCGCAGGCGGUUUUUUAAGUCUGAUGUGAAAGCCUUCGGCUCAACCGAAGAAGUGCAUCGGAAACUGGGAAACUUGAGUGCAGAAGAGGACAGUGGAACUCCAUGUGUAGCGGUGAAAUGCGUAGAUAUAUGGAAGAACACCAGUGGCGAAGGCGGCUGUCUGGUCUGUAACUGACGCUGAGGCUCGAAAGUAUGGGUAGCAAACAGGAUUAGAUACCCUGGUAGUCCAUACCGUAAACGAUGAAUGCUAAGUGUUGGAGGGUUUCCGCCCUUCAGUGCUGCAGCUAACGCAUUAAGCAUUCCGCCUGGGGAGUACGGCCGCAAGGCUGAAACUCAAAGGAAUUGACGGGGGCCCGCACAAGCGGUGGAGCAUGUGGUUUAAUUCGAAGCUACGCGAAGAACCUUACCAGGUCUUGACAUACUAUGCAAAUCUAAGAGAUUAGACGUUCCCUUCGGGGACAUGGAUACAGGUGGUGCAUGGUUGUCGUCAGCUCGUGUCGUGAGAUGUUGGGUUAAGUCCCGCAACGAGCGCAACCCUUAUUAUCAGUUGCCAGCAUUAAGUUGGGCACUCUGGUGAGACUGCCGGUGACAAACCGGAGGAAGGUGGGGAUGACGUCAAAUCAUCAUGCCCCUUAUGACCUGGGCUACACACGUGCUACAAUGGAUGGUACAACGAGUUGCGAACUCGCGAGAGUAAGCUAAUCUCUUAAAGCCAUUCUCAGUUCGGAUUGUAGGCUGCAACUCGCCUACAUGAAGUCGGAAUCGCUAGUAAUCGCGGAUCAGCAUGCCGCGGUGAAUACGUUCCCGGGCCUUGUACACACCGCCCGUCACACCAUGAGAGUUUGUAACACCCAAAGUCGGUGGGGUAACCUUUUAGGAACCAGCCGCCUAAGGUGGGACAGAUGAUUAGGGUGAAGUCGUAACAAGUGCCAU
rnacentral:rRNA from 1 species